UACGGAGGGUGCAAGCGUUAUCCGGAUUCACUGGGUUUAAAGGGUGCGUAGGAGGGUAGGUAAGUCAGUGGUGAAAUCUUCGAGCUUAACUCGGAAACUGCCGUUGAUACUAUCUAUCUUGAAUACCGUGGAGGUGAGCGGAAUAUGUCAUGUAGCGGUGAAAUGCUUAGAUAUGACAUAGAACACCAAUUGCGAAGGCAGCUCACUAACACGAAUAUUGACACUGAGGCACGAAAGCGUUGGGGAUCAAACAGG
rnacentral:rRNA from 1 species